GAUGAACGCUGGCGGCGUGCUUAACAUAUGCAAGUCGAACGGGAAUUAUUUUAUUGAAACUUCGGUCGAUUUAAUUUAAUUCUAGUGGCGGACGGGUGAGUAACGCGUGGGUAACCUGCCUUAUACAGGGGGAUAACAGUCAGAAAUGGCUGCUAAUACCGCAUAAGCGCACAGAGCUGCAUGGCUCAGUGUGAAAAACUCCGGUGGUAUAAGAUGGACCCGCGUUGGAUUAGCUGGUUGGUGGGGUAACGGCCCACCAAGGCGACGAUCCAUAGCCGGCCUGAGAGGGUGAACGGCCACAUUGGGACUGAGACACGGCCCAGACUCCUACGGGAGGUAGCAGUGGGGAAUAUUGCACAAUGGGGGAAACCCUGAUGCAGCGACGCCGCGUGAAGGAAGAAGUAUCUCGGUAUGUAAACUUCUAUCAGCAGGGAAGAUAGUGACGGUACCUGACUAAGAAGCCCCGGCUAACUACGUG
rnacentral:rRNA from 1 species